AACGAACGCUGGCGGCAGGCUUAACACAUGCAAGUCGAGCGCGUAGCAAUACGAGCGGCAGACGGGUGAGUAACGCGUGGGAAUCUACCCAUCUCUACGGAACAACUCCGGGAAACUGGAGCUAAUACCGUAUACGUCCUUUUGGAGAAAGAUUUAUCGGAGAUGGAUGAGCCCGCGUUGGAUUAGCUAGUCGGUGGGGUAAUGGCCUACCAAGGCGACGAUCCAUAGCUGGUCUGAGAGGAUGAUCAGCCACACUGGGACUGAGACACGGCCCAGACUCCUACGGGAGGCAGCAGUGGGGAAUAUUGGACAAUGGGCGCAAGCCUGAUCCAGCCAUGCCGCGUGAGUGAUGAAGGCCCUAGGGUUGUAAAGCUCUUUCAACGGUGAAGAUAAUGACGGUAACCGUAGAAGAAGCCCCGGCUAACUUCC
rnacentral:rRNA from 1 species